rnacentral:lncRNA from 1 species
CCCUCCGUCCACCAAUUAAAGCCCCAUUUGAGGGUGGACACGGAGACUAAGAAAACUGAAAAAGGUGUUGUGGGUGAAAUAUAAGGGUAGUUGUUUACUUUUACUAAUCUUUAAUUAAGAGACUUUUACUUUUUUGAUUAACUUUAUUAUCUUUAAACUAUUCCAUUUAAUUUUUAAUUUAUUAAUCUUUGACUAUGUCAUUUUAAUUUAAUGACACCAAUUCUUUUUUUCUUUUUUUUUCCAUCUGUCAGUUUUUUUUUCUUUAUUAAUCCUUUG